rnacentral:rRNA from 1 species
GAUGAACGCUGGCGGCGUGCCUAAUACAUGCAAGUCGAGCGAACGGACGAGAAGCUUGCUUCUCUGAUGUUAGCGGCGGACGGGUGAGUAACACGUGGAUAACCUACCUAUAAGACUGGGAUAACUUCGGGAAACCGGAGCUAAUACCGGAUAAUAUUUUGAGCCGCAUGGUUCAAAAGUGAAAGACGGUCUUGCUGUCACUUAUAGAUGGAUCCGCGCUGCAUUAGCUAGUUGGUAAGGUAACGGCUUACCAAGGCAACGAUGCAUAGCCGACCUGAGAGGGUGAUCGGCCACACUGGAGCUGAGACACGGUCCAGACUCCUACGAGAGGCAGCAGUAGGGAAUCUUACGCAAUGGGCGAAAGCCUGACGGAGCAACGCCGCGUGAGUGAUGAAGGUCUUGGGUUCGUAAAACCCUGUUAUUGGUGAAGAACGUAUGUGUAAGUAACUGUGGACAGCUUGACGGUACCUGAUCAAAAAGCCACGGCUAACUACGUG